GACGAACGCUGGCGGCGUGCCUAAUACAUGCAAGUCGAGCGAGCUUGCCUAGAUGAAUUUGGUGCUUGCACCAGAUGAAACUAGAUACAAGCGAGCGGCGGACGGGUGAGUAACACGUGGGUAACCUGCCCAAGAGACUGGGAUAACACCUGGAAACAGAUGCUAAUACCGGAUAACAACACUAGACGCAUGUCUAGAGUUUAAAAGAUGGUUCUGCUAUCACUCUUGGAUGGACCUGCGGUGCAUUAGCUAGUUGGUAAGGCAACGGCUUACCAAGGCAAUGAUGCAUAGCCGAGUUGAGAGACUGAUCGGCCACAUUGGGACUGAGACACGGCCCAAACUCCUACGGGAGGCAGCAGUAGGGAAUCUUCCACAAUGGACGCAAGUCUGAUGGAGCAACGCCGCGUGAGUGAAGAAGGGUUUCGGCUCGUAAAGCUCUGUUGGUAGUGAAGAAAGAUAGAGGUAGUAACUGGCCUUUAUUUGACGGUAAUUACUUAGAAAGUCACGGCUAGCUACGUG
rnacentral:rRNA from 1 species